ACAGCUGGGUGGCGGCGGCACCACAGCACCGGGCAGCCCGGCGCGCCCGUCCUUGGGGGCUCAGGCACAGCGGGGAAUGGCGUCGGUUCCGGACUGAGAGGCUCGGGGAGGCUUUAGGAGGAUGCUAUGGGAUUUCGGGGUAGGCUCCGGGAGGGUCUGGGACUCCCUCUGCAGGGUCAGAGGGUUUCGCACCGUGGCAUCUGCGGGCCCAGCCCACUCCAGAGACUGGGCGGCUCCACAGGGGAGGCCCCACGGCCCAGGAACCGGGAAGCCCACCUGCGCCGUAAGCCCAGAGUUGGGCUGGAACCGGGUCCCCACUCCUCGCUGCCGGGCGGAAAGCAGGAGACCGCUCCGCCGCCACAGCCCGUGCGGACAACACAAACAUUCUUCAGUCCUCUAUUCUCCUCCAAAUUAGGUAUCCAUGGAGACAGGGCCGGCAGCCUGACAGCCCUACGGCCUAAUCCU
rnacentral:lncRNA from 1 species